rnacentral:lncRNA from 1 species
UGUCCCUAUUACUUCAAAGAGUAAAAUCCAUUCAUUUCUUCCUAGUAAUCCCAUUUUUGGUUAUUGCAGCUUGCUAAUUACUAAAGUUGUAUUCUGGUUACUGAAAAAUGAUAUGAAAUUCAAUGUCAAGUUCAUCAUAUUGAAAAAUCUUAAGUAUUGACAUUCAGAAGUUGUGUCUGACAGGUAAACAAAAUUAAGACAUGUUGCAACCUUUUACUUGCAUGCUGGUUACCAUAUAAGUCAUUUUGAUCAUGAGUACCUGAGACAGUGUGGAUAAAAUUUGAAUUUCUAUUGUACAAAGGGAGAUAAUCCAAUAAAAAUGCUGAUUUUUAAAA